ensembl:snRNA U6 U6 spliceosomal RNA
GUUCCAUUGUGGUGCGUGGCUGGAAAAUGAAACGGUAUAGAGAAGAGUGGCAUAUUCCCUAUGAAAGGAUCACACACAUGUUUGUGAAGCAUUCAAUAUUUUU